CCCUGCGUGUACGUGAACCCAAACAUCCUUGUGAGAGACAGCAGGGAAGCAAAGUGAACCCGAGUAACUGGAACUGUAAGGACAGACUUGCCCCUGAGCCUCUCCAGCUCAUCGCUCCUCCCAUUCAUGGCUGAGCACAUUGGGAAUGACCCUGGAGGUACACCCAAGAAUAGAAAGAAUUAUUCAGGAGGAACUAGGCUCCUGUCAUGAUGGCUUUCUCUCUUAACUUCCAUAAGCCUCCUCAAAGCUGCCAGAUAGGAGCCCGAAAACCGAGAGAGGCACAAAAUGCUCUCCUCCAAGACCCUGGUUUUUAGCCUCACAGGCUGAUAGACUAAAAGGAAUUAUUACCUGCCUUCACAAAGCCUACAUUCAGCAAAGAACUGUUCCUUUACUGAUGCAUCAAGGCCCACCAAGGCUUCCUGCAACCUGCAAAGAUGACAGAGACAAGUUCUGGUACUAAAUUCGUAAUUGUUAACAAGCCCAGCUGCCAUUUCAGCAAAGAUAAUGCCGUAAUGAAGUAAGGGCGGUGUUCAGUUUCCAAAUCUUACUGCAAAACAGUCAUCGCGGAGAGCCUUCCGAUGAUGGACAGGGGCAAGGCCCAAUCUAGUCACCCGAUCGGUCCCGCGCCUCGGGCCACCGCCCACCGAGAUAGUAAACUGCAC